CAUCGAUGUGACGGUUACUACAUAGUAGGCAGGACAUCUGUAAGCUGGAACAGAAGUGACCGUUGAAGUCGAUAGAAUAGUCCAGUCCAGGACAACGUGUAAGUGGUCUUUCGUUCUUUUCCUAUCUUUUACUUGAAACAAGGCGAUUAAGAACUUUUGAGACGUAAACGAACUAUGUAAACGAGAACCUUGUUAUAUAGUUUCUUCUCUUCCAGGGUCCGUAAUCUAGAACUGUCUGUACUCGUUACCGAAUGAGUUAGGUAGUAAGGUCUAUAAACGGAUGGAUACGGAACGUGACUAUCGAGAGAACAAAGGGCACCACAGACGGCUGACCUUUCCGAGACUUGUCAAGUCGCAUUCGACACCAUGGUGGUCGUUACGGUCACUAAGACUACCAGCUUGUACCAUACCCCUGCGAUUGAUACCCAAUCUAAAAGGACCGAAAAGUCGGUUCCGUAGUAUGGUCCUGGGAAGUGAAGGAAGGGGUCAUGGAAUGUACUGACGAGCGUAGGAGUGAAGCUUAAAGUGUAUAGGAAAACCCAAACCGGGACCGGCGUACAAGGAAGCCGAGAUGAAGAUAGGUUGAAGAAUACGACUUGUAUGACGACGUCUACGGAACAAAUCACAGUGACGUCCCUAGGUAUCGGAAGAUUCACUGAAGUUAGGAAAGGUCUGACGAGUCCGGUACCCAGCGUGAAUGGAGUAGGCACUUAUGAGGAACUUACAAUGAAGUCUAGUUGAGUUACAGUGUAAAAGGGGUAGUUGUGUGGUACGACCCAGAAUACGCAAACACUUACCGUAGCUUUAACACGUGUGAGGACUGUAAAAGUGCUACGGUCACGGUUCUAAGUGCUUACCACCCUUGGGUCUAGAUAAGGGUUAAAGGAGAUCGUAUCGGGAACUUUGUUACAUGGCAGAAUUACAACCCCCAUGCUGCGAGGGACGCUCUAUACUAUUACCGAAAAUGGCGAGUACCCUUCUAGUGCCGGCGAUAUAAAGACCUAGAAGUCAACCGAACUUAAACAAGUUUUUGUCUUUACAGUGUUAGUCAAUGGGUGAAGCGUACGGCCUAAUGUAUCGUGGUUAGAUAUAGAUACUCUGUCGUCAUAGGUACCCCUCUCUACGUCCAUAGUUGUACCCCAUGUUAGAAUGUACCUAAAACGAACAGCUACGUCCCAAGAUGAUGGAAGACUCCAAGGUAAAGACACUCUAGGUCAUAGGUUAUUGGUUCCAUUUGGUCUCCUCAAAGAAGUAUAUGUAGUUGUUGGUCUGUCGUCACCUCGUCUACCUACAGUAAGAAACCUCGCCUCCUUAGCCAUAUGGUCAAAUGUGGUUGAUGCAACAACAGUGUCAACCAGUACCAGUCUGUCUAGACACCCAUCGUGAGGUGGGACUAGAGUCAUCGGCUGGUGUUAUAAUACUACGUUAAGAUUUACCGGACCUUCAUAAGUUCGAUGUCCUAUUGUCGUUAUUAUUAGAACGUCCACAGUUGGGAUGUGGGUUCGUUUUAGCACUAUCCCGUCGUAGAGUACCAGUUCUAUUUUGUUUACGAUCUUAGGGUCGCUAGUAACCACCACCUCGACGAAGACCACAGAACCGAAACAAGUAAAGGUCAAAGACGUAAAUACAAUACAUGUCCGCCUUCUUUUGAUUGAUGUGAGUACCGUUCUGGUUACCCGUAGGAGGGUUGCCUCUAUCUCUUAACGAUAACCGGUGGAGCGUGAGCUUCCUAAACUUCGAAACGGUGUUGAAGAGCAAGUUCGUUUAGGUCCUUCGGUGGUUGUUGAAGCUACUCUGGAAAGAGGAUCCGUUUCCACCCAAACCCUUACAUAUGGUGCCAGUCUAUCGACCAUCCGACUUCCACCGUUAGUUCGCACCAUUGGGAGUCGGGGUCGUCCCGUAGGUCCUUAAAGUCUUACUUUAACUCUACAACUGGUUAGAGGCCGUAGCGGUGGAACACAGGUGAUCAUCUUUUUCCCAGUUUACAUUUCGUGUAAUCACGGCCAAACAUAAACUCGGCCGUGAUUACAUAUGUAAUCACGGCCAAGGUUGCCGAUCGGCCCGGGGAAAGUAAUCAUGGCCAAGCACUGCUUGGAAAUAGUGGCCAAGCACGGUGCUUGGCCACGAUUACUCUCACCACCGUCCUACAACAGUCUUACCCCGGGGAGGUCGGAGAAAUCAUGGCCAAGAACCGUGUUUGGCCAUGAUUUCCAGUAGGAUGUAUUUGGGAAGCAGGUGGGCUCGAACGAGACAAGAAGGGGAAAGGGGAGAGGAGAGACAAGAAGGGGAGAAGGAGAGCUCGAAUAGUGUAUAAAACGGGUUUUAAACAUUCUAAACUUCCGGGGGUAGGUAAGUUUACUAGUGUUUCCACACCAAAUGAAUCACGGAAGAUUUAGAGGUAGCAUCGGUGGCAACUAGCGGGCGUGGCAGGGCAGCGGCCGUGGUGGAACACACGGUACUAAAACUAUAGGCAGGGGCAGCCGGGAUCAGGAACAAUACUAAGCCUACACCUCCAUACACUUGGCCUUUAAGGUUGGCUGGGAUAACGGCUCUCCAAUUUAAAUCAACUUUCUCUUUUGCUCAUGAACUUUCUUUUUAACUUUUCUUAACUCCCCCUCUUCUACCUUAACCUCAACGUAUAACGGCUACAGCAGCUACUAGUCUUCUAGUUCUACCUCUUUUACGCGAACUUCUAAUCUUUCUAAUCUUUUAUACGGUAGCUAUCACUCCGAACCAUAGUAAUACGACAACCUAGGUAACAAUGGAAUCAACGCUAGAACUAGCAUAAACAACAACGUAAAUUUACGAAAUCGAUCUCUCAACAAACAAACAACGUAAAUUCACAACAUACUUGAACAUAAUUAAACCAGAUAAGCCACAACACAUUACUUCUACUCGGCCGUUACCUACAUGCUACUGGCUACGAGAGGGGUCAAGCAACUCCCGCACGUAUGAAAAGACGAACGCCGAUUCCGUUUGUUCGCCCGCCUACCAAAAUACGGAACAGGUACACGAGCGACAUUCUUACCAGUGUUAAUGAGAUGCAGUUCUUGGUAAGUGCAGGUGGACAAAUUCAGGCCAAAGUACGGGGUAAUAUUACAAACCUGGUUCGUGCCUCUUUCUCCCCAAUACUACCUUCUGUUACUUCUUCUUCUCCUGCUGCUGUCGAUAGGACCGGUACCCAAGGGACUUAUGCUACUAUGUUGUUACCCGCUUCUUCGACUCGGUCAUUACGCCCUUCUUCGACUCGGCCGUUACGCCCUUCUUCGACUUCUUCUCCGUAGUCUACUCGGGCAACUAUUAGAUCCAGCCCGGUAACGGCUACGUUUCUCUUUGACACGUUCAUUAAACCUCUUCUUCUUCAACGUCGCGUACAAUCUCCUAGUGUUUUUUCAUGACAUGGGCUUAACGCAUCCACUGUUCUUUUUCAACCCGUGGUGUGACCUUAACGACGUUACCUUCUGUCUCUUACCACAUAGAUUGUUUCCUAAACCUUUCAACGACCAUUACUAUUUCCUAUACGAAGGUUUCCUGUUGCUUAACGGGCUCUCAUGCAUGCUUCGUUUCUUCCGACAGACGGGAGAUCCCAAUCUCCACGUCUUCUAUGUACGUACGGGAUUACUAACGUAGGAGAUGGCGCCACUCAUGCUCCUAAACUUGAG
rnacentral:rRNA from 1 species